rnacentral:tRNA from 1 species
ACCGGGGUGGUGGAAUUGGCAGACACGCCAGAUUUAGGAUCUGGUGCCCACAAGGCGUGAGGGUUCGAGUCCCUUCCCCGGUACAA